CCUACGGGCGGCAGCAGUGGGGAAUAUUGCACAAUGGGGGAAACCCUGAUGCAGCGACGCCGCGUGAAGGAAGAAGUAUUUCGGUAUGUAAACUUCUAUCAGCAGGGAAGAAAAUGACGGUACCUGACUAAGAAGCCCCGGCUAACUACGUGCCAGCAGCCGCGGUAAUACGUAGGGGGCCAGCGUUAUCCGGAUUUACUGGGUGUAAAGGGAGCGUAGGCGGUUUAGCAAGUCAGAAGUGAAAGCUCGGGGCUCAACUCCGGGACUGCUUUUGAAACUGUUGAACUAGAGUGCAGGAGAGGUAAGUGGAAUUCGUGGUGUAGCGGUGAAAUGCGUAGAUAUUAGGAGGAACACCGGUGGCGAAGGCGGCUUACUGGAGUGUAAAUGACGCUGAGGCUCGAAAGCGUGGGGAGCGAACAGGAUUAGAUACCCGAGUAGUC
rnacentral:rRNA from 1 species